CCUACGGGAGGCAGCAGUGGGGGAUAUUGCACAAUGGGGGGAACCCUGAUGCAGCGACGCCGCGUGGGUGAAGAAGCGCCUCGGCGCGUAAAGCCCUGUCAGCAGGGAAGAAAAUGACGGUACCUGAAGAAGAAGCCCCGGCUAACUACGUGCCAGCAGCCGCGGUAAUACGUAGGGGGCAAGCGUUAUCCGGAUUUACUGGGUGUAAAGGGGGCGCAGACGGGGCUGCAAGCCAGGAGUUAAAGCCCGGGGCCCAACCCCGGGACUGCUCUUGGAACUGCGUGGCUGGAGUGCAGGAGGGGCAGGCGGAAUGCCUGGUGUAGCGGUGAAAUGCGUAGAUAUCAGGAGGAACACCGGUGGCGAAGGCGGCCUGCUGGACUGCAACUGACGUUGAGGCCCGAAAGCGUGGGGAGCGAACAGGAUUAGAUACCCGAGUAGUC
rnacentral:rRNA from 1 species